UACGUAUGGUGCAAGCGUUAAUCGGAAUUACUGGGCGUAAAGCGUGCGCAGGCGGUUUUGUAAGUCAGAUGUGAAAUCCCCGGGCUUAACCUGGGAACUGCGUUUGAAACUACAAGGCUAGAGUGUGGCAGAGGGGGGUGGAAUUCCACGUGUAGCAGUGAAAUGCGUAGAGAUGUGGAGGAACACCGAUGGCGAAGGCAGCCCCCUGGGUUAACACUGACGCUCAGGCACGAAAGCGUGGGGAGCAAACAGG
rnacentral:rRNA from 1 species